rnacentral:piRNA from 1 species
UAGAAGAGACCUAAGAAUAGGAUGGGA